UUAUUUUUAGCUUUUUUAUUUUUUAUUUUUUAAAUUUUUCCUUGAAAUUAGCAUAUUUGAAUAGCCUCGGAUUCAAGUUUAGCACCGAUUCUCAGGUAUUUUAUGGGUUCUCUCAAACUCUUCCUUCAUCUCUCUGCUUCUGUGGAUCAAGCUCCUAGGGUUUCCUUUGCACCUCUCAUUCACACCGCGUCACUGUAAUUUCUUUGCCCCAUAGUUUUCAUGUGAAUACCACAGAUUUGGAUGACAAUGCAUGAUAGGCUUUGAAGAUCCUCUUUCUCAAGAAAUUGGAUGGAGAGCUAUAUUUAGUUACAUAUGUCAAAAGCACCAGAGACUCUUCUGUUUCAUCACAAGUGAAACUAAGUACGAUGUUGAAUUGAAUUUUGAAAUCAUUUUAUUGCUUAUGCAGUUGCAUCUAGAAUAGAAAAGAAAGUCUGGAGGAAUGGAUGAUGAAAGAGAAAUUGCGAUAUCGUUACCUGGUUGGAACAACCGGAAUCCAACAGAUCGUCUUUUUAUUAUUUCUUGCUUUGUUGCUGCCUUAGUUGGAAUUUUAACUAUAGCCUACACAGCCUUCCAAUGGAGGAGAAAUAUUAAUCUUUGUUGGAUGAAAGCCAUAGCAAGAUCAAAGAAAAACCCGAAGACAAGGCAUAAAGUUCCUGUAGCUCCUCAUACUUGGAUUCUAGAAUCUGUAUCUCGUGGAAAGAACUUGAACUGCUGCGUCUGCUUAAAGUCGAUGUCCCCUUCUCAAACUCUUGGGCCUAUAGUGGCUUCAGAUAGUUUUAUUCACCAUUGUAGCAUUUGUGGUGCAGCAGCUCACCUCAAUUGCUCUUCUAGUGCACACAAGGAUUGUAAGUGUGUAUCUAUGGUUGAGUGUGAGAAUGUGACGCAUCAAUGGGCUGUCCGAUGGACUGAGGUCACUGACCAGCCUGAUGAAGCUUCUUUUUGUAGCUACUGUGAAGAGCCAUGUAGUGGGUCUUUUCUUGGUGGAUCCCCAAUAUGGUGCUGCUUAUGGUGCCAACGAUUGGUUCAUGUUGAUUGUCACAGUAGUAUGUCUAAUGAAACAGGUGAUAUUUGUGAUUUAGGUCCAUUCAGAAGGUUGAUUCUGUCACCACUCUAUGUUAGGGAAUUGAGCAAGAAUCCUGCUGGCAGUUUUUUGAGCUCAAUUACUCAGGGAGCCAAUGAAAUAGCAUCUUCAGUACGUGCAACUAUUAGGAGUCAGAGCAAGAAAUACAAGAACCUCAAUGAGACCUCUGUUGACACAGAAAAUAGCGGUAGCAUCAUUGAUAUGUCUACAGAAAGCAGUGCUGAUACUCACCAAGCCAUUAGUGGUUCUCAUGGAACUGAAGAAAACUGUAAUGGUAACUCAAAUGUAGAUGAUAAGCCUCAGGACGGUGACAUAGAUAAUAAGUUGGAUUCAAAGCCUAGUUUCAAAAGAACCUCCUCAAUAAAUAAAAAGGAUGAGUCUCAGGUUUUGCAGAUGAAACAGAAGUAUGAGUUGAAAGAUUUGCCAUCAGAUGCAAGACCCCUAUUAGUUUUUAUCAACAAGAAGAGUGGGGCUCAGCGUGGGGAUUCUCUAAGGCUGCGACUGAAUAUUCUUUUAAAUCCAGUUCAGGUUUUUGAAUUAAGUUCCACACAAGGACCAGAGGUAGGUCUUUAUUUAUUUAGAAAGGUGUCUCAUUUCAGAGUUCUUGUUUGUGGGGGAGAUGGUACUGUUGGUUGGGUUUUGAAUGCCAUAGACAAACAAAAUUUUGUUUCUCCUCCUCCUGUUGCCAUUCUUCCUGCUGGCACUGGAAAUGAUCUGGCUAGAGUUCUGUCAUGGGGAGGUGGUUUGAGUUCGGUGGAGCGGCAAGGAGGUCUUUGCACAGUGUUGCAUCAUAUAGAGCAUGCUGCAGUAACCAUUCUAGACAGGUGGAAGGUGACACUUGUAAAUCAACAAGGAAAACAACUUCAACCUCCAAAAUUCAUGAACAAUUAUCUUGGAAUUGGUUGUGAUGCAAAGGUUGCUCUGGACAUUCAUAAUCUACGGGAGGAGAAUCCAGAUAAGUUUUAUAACCAGUUUAUGAAUAAAGUUCUUUAUGCAAGAGAAGGUGCUAAGAAUAUUAUGGAUAGGACAUUUGCAGAUUUCCAUUGGCAAGUACGAGUUGUAGUGGAUGGUGUUGAGAUAGAUGUCCCUGAGGAUGCAGAAGGUGUACUUCUUGCAAACAUUGGAAGCUACAUGGGUGGUGUAGAUUUGUGGCAAAAUGAGGAUGAAAAUUAUGAUAAUUUUGAUCCACAGUCAAUGCAUGAUAAAAUACUAGAAGUUGUCAGCAUAUCUGGGACAUGGCACCUUGGGAAGCUCCAGGUGGGGCUUUCUCGUGCUGGUAGGCUUGCACAGGGUCAGUCAAUCAAGAUACAGCUCUGUGCUCCAUUUCCUGUUCAAAUUGAUGGAGAGCCUUGGUUUCAGCAGCCAUGCACAUUGAUCAUAUCUCAUCAUGGCCAGGCCUUCAUGUUGAAGAGGGCUGCUGAGGAACCCCUUGGUCAUGCAGCUGCCAUAAUCACUGAUGUCCUUGAGAAUGCAGAAACCAGCCAUGUAAUCAAUGCUUCACAAAAACGAGCUCUUCUUCAGGAAAUGGCACUGAGGUUGACGUAGAGGUUUUUUCUUGUACUCCUGUUGUAGUUAGGGUUUUGUUUGUGGUUUCUCUUUUUUGUUGAAAAUAUUUACAUGUUCUACCCUGCGAUUACAGCACAUGUAUCUUGCAUUUCAAUGUUAUAUGUUGUGGUGUUGAACUUGAUGCUUUCAGCUGGAGCAUAUUGUAUAUGAACCUUGUUCAACAUCAAUGAAAAGCAAAUUUUCCAUGCUUCACCUUCUUCCAUAACCACGUCACAACUCCCGUAGCGACCUCCCCAGCACCUUUUUUGCUCGGCUUGUCAUCAUGAGCUGUAUGGGAGAUUCUCGGAUGUGAAAUUCUCUUUGGCUUCUUGAUGCUCUCUCUGUAAAGGCGAUCUAAGCGCUGUCGGUAGAAAGGUGACGUUAACGAGCACAGGUAAGGAGAUGAGAACAUUUUCGAACCUUGAAUGGCUUUAUUAAGCUGUUCUGUUACUGCUUGAAACUCAUAGGAAUCAUACAGGGUGCUGCCAUUAUAUCUGGGGCUGAACCUCAAUACGGGGCUCAUGGCUUGGGAUUUGACGUGGUUUGAACUACUUCUCGAUGACUGUUUUUCUCUUGGGAUUUCUGUUCGGUUGGAAAAGCUUCCCAUUUUUCUUAGCCGGAAAGUAUUAAGAAUUGUGAGGCGUUUAUGAGUGGAAGAUUACAUUGAAAGUAACGUUGGUUAAUGAAAUGCUUAACAAGAAAAUUGCAUUGCUUUAUACGUCUUUAU